UCCGUAGGGUGCGAGCGUUAAUCGGAAUUACUGGGCGUAAAGCGUGCGCAGGCGGUUGUGCAAGACAGAGGUGAAAUCCCCGAGCUCAACUUGGGAACUGCCUUUGUGACUGCAUAGCUAGAGUGUGUCAGAGGGGGGUAGAAUUCCACGUGUAGCAGUGAAAUGCGUAGAUAUGUGGAGGAAUACCGAUGGCGAAGGCAGCCCCCUGGGAUAACACUGACGCUCAUGCACGAAAGCGUGGGGAGCAAACAGG
rnacentral:rRNA from 1 species